rnacentral:rRNA from 1 species
ACAAUUAAAAUCUUACUUUUCUUUUUAUUAAUUAUUUUUGAGAAAUAUCUUUUUAUUUAGUAUACUAAAGAAAAAUUUUUUUUUGUUAUAGUAUAAUAGUACUGUGAAGGAAUUGAUGAAAUAAUUUAAAUAUUUAUUUAUAUAUAAGUAUACUUAAAUUGUAGUACCUUUUGUAUCAGGGUUAAUCAAUAAUAUUAAUUUAUAUUGCUUUCUCGAUUCCAAUAGAGCUAAUUUAAUGUUUUAGUUAAUGUAACAUAAUUAUUAAAAACAUUAAAUUAGUGGAGACAUUCCAUUCGAUUUUGGAGGUAUCUAGUUUUUUUAAGAAUUAAAUUUAAUUUAGUUCUAUUAAUUAUUUUAUACAUUUUUUUUAUAAAAUAUUUAUUAGAAGAAGAAUUAUAGGGGAUAAGCUCUAUAUUAUUCUAAAAAUUGUCUGUUGCAAUGAUUUUUGUAGGGUUAAAACUAUCCAUCAUUAAUAAGUUUGUUAUAAUUUAUUUAAAAAUUAAAUUGAUUUUAUUAUUUUUAGCAUUCUAUUAAAAUACUAAGAUGAAUUUUUAUUUUAGGAAAUAAUGAUUAAAUUAGUAUAAUAAAUUGUUUAUAUAAUUUCAAUUAUAUAUGAUAAAAUAAGGAACUCGGCAAAUAUAGUUCUCGCCUGUUUAACAAAAACAUGUCCUUUUGAAUUUAAUUGAAGGUCUGACCUGCCCAGUGAUAAUUUUAACGGCCGCGGUAUACUGACCGUGCAAAGGUAGCAUAAUCAUUAGUCUUUUAAUAGAGGGCUGGAAUGAAAGGUUUAACGAGGAAUUAGCUGUCUCAUUUUAUUUGUUUUAAAAUUUAAUUUUUUAGUCAAAAAGCUAAAAUUUGAUUGGUAGACGAGAAGACCCUAUAGAUCUUUAUAAAUAUUUAAUUAAUUAUCUUUAUAUAAUAACAAUUAUUUAAAUAUUUAUUUUGUUGGGGAGACAAAAAUAUAUAAACAACUUUUUUAUUUAAUUUACAUUGAUUUAUGAAUUUUAGAUCCAUUAUUAUUGAUUGGUAGACUAAGUUACCUUAGGGAUAACAGCGUAAUCCUCUUCCAGAGUUCAUAUUUACAAGAGGGUUUGCGACCUCGAUGUUGGAUUAAGAUAAUAACUAGGUGUAGCCGCUUAGUUUAUAGGUCUGUUCGACCUUUAAACUCUUAACA